rnacentral:rRNA from 1 species
GCAGUCGCCGCGGGAAUACAGAGGGUGCGAGCGUUAAUCGGAUUUACUGGGCGUAAAGCGUGCGUAGGCGGCUUUUUAAGUCGGAUGUGAAAUCCCUGAGCUUAACUUAGGAAUUGCAUUCGAUACUGGGAAGCUAGAGUAUGGGAGAGGAUGGUAGAAUUCCAGGUGUAGCGGUGAAAUGCGUAGAGAUCUGGAGGAAUACCGAUGGCGAAGGCAGCCAUCUGGCCUAAUACUGACGCUGAGGUACGAAAGCAUGGGGAGCAAACAGGAUUAGAUACCCCCGUAGUCCCUGUCUCUUAUAC